rnacentral:rRNA from 1 species
AGCCUGCCCAAGGACCAUGUGUUUAACGGCCGCGGUAUCUUAACCGUGCGAAGGUAGCGUAAUCACUCGUCUUUUAAAUAAAGACCCGUAUGAACGGUAAAACGAGGGCUUAGCUGUCUCCUUUUUCAGGUCAAUGAAAUUGAUCUUCCCGUGCAAAAGCGGGAAUUAUAACAUAAGACGAGAAGACCCUGUGAAGCUUUAGACACCAAGACAGCCCCCGUCAAACCCUCCUAACAAAGAACUAAACAUCAAACCCUGUCUCAACGUCUUCGGUUGGGGUGACCGCGGAGAACCACUAAACCCCCGCAUGGAAUGGGGACACAACAUAUAAUUAUAUCCCCAAAGCCAAGAGCCUCCGCUCUAAUACACAGAAUUUCUGACCUUACAUGAUCCGGCAACGCCGAUCAAUGAACCAAGUUACUCCAGGGAUAACAGCGCCAUCCUCUUCCAGAGCCCCCAUCGACAAGAGGGUUUACGACCUCGAUGUUGGAUCAGGACAUCCUAAUGGUGCAGCCGCUAUUAAGGGUUCGUUUGUUCAACGAUUAAC